rnacentral:rRNA from 1 species
GAUCAUGGCUCAGGAUGAACGCUGGCGGCGUGCUUAACACAUGCAAGUCGAACGAAGCACUUGAUCGGAUUUUCUUCGGAGAUGACGGUCUUGUGACUGAGUGGCGGACGGGUGAGUAACGCGUGGGCAACCUGCCUUGUACAGGGGGAUAACAGUUAGAAAUGACUGCUAAUACCGCAUAAGACCACAGCAUCACAUGAUGCAGGGGUAAAAACUGAGGUGGUACAAG